GACGGAGGGUGCAAGCGUUGUUCGGAAUUACUGGGCGUAAAGCGCGGGCAGGUGGUCUUUUAAGUCCUUUGUGAAAUCCCGGGGCUCAACUCCGGAUGUGCAUAGGAUACUGGAAGACUGGAGACUGGUAGAGGCGAGCGGAAUUCCUGGUGUAGCGGUGGAAUGCGCAGAUAUCAGGAGGAACACCAAUAGCGAAGGCAGCUCGCUGGGACGGUACUGACGCUAAGGCGCGAAAGCGUGGGGAGCGAACAGG
rnacentral:rRNA from 1 species